GAUGAACGCUGGCGGCGUGCCUAAUACAUGCAAGUCGAGCGAACGGACGCGAAGCUUGCUUUUCUGAUGUUAGCGGCGGACGGGUGAGUAACACGUGUAUAACCUACCUAUAAUACUGGGAUAACUUCGGGAAACCGGAGCUAAUACCGGAUAAUAUUUUGAACCGCAUGGUUCAAAAGUGAAAGACGGUCUUGCUGUCAGUUAUAGCUGGAUCUGGGCUGCAUUAGCUAGUUGGUAAGGUAACGGCUUUCCAAGGCAACGCUGCAUAAGCGAACGGCGAGGGGGGUCGGCCACACGGGAACGGAGACGCGGACCAUGCUCCUACGGGAGGGAGCAGAAGGGAAUGUUCCGCAGUGGGCGAGAACCUUGCGGAGCAACGCCGCGUGAGAGGUGGCGGUCUUCGGAUCGUAAUACUCUGUUAUGAGUGAAGAACAUAUUUGUAAGUAACUGUGCACAGCGUGACGGUAACUAAUAAGAAAGCCACGGCUAACUACGUG
rnacentral:rRNA from 1 species